UACGGAGGGUGCAAGCGUUUAAUCGGAAUUACUGGGCGUAAAGCGUGCGUAGGCGGUUCGUUAAGUCUGUUGUGAAAGCCCGGGCUCAACCUGGGAAUGGCAAUGGAUACUGGCGAGCUAGAGUGUGUCAGAGGAUGGUGGAAUUCCCGGUGUAGCGGUGAAAUGCGUAGAGAUCGGGAGGAACAUCAGUGGCGAAGGCGGCCAUCUGGGACAACACUGACGCUGAGGCACGAAAGCGUGGGGAGCAAACAGG
rnacentral:rRNA from 1 species